rnacentral:lncRNA from 13 species
CCAAAAGGCAGCUGAAUUAAUGUGUCUGGAGAUAAGAAAAAGAGAGCAGCCAGAACUUAUUUGCAAAGAAUAAUGUACAAGUCAAUAAAUUUGGUGAGUACUCCUGACAACAUAUAAAUAAUGACUUUAGAAGUAUAACUACCUGUAGUUGAAAACUAAAUAACAUGUGUUCGUGUUUGGGUUUUUAUGAACUAGCUGAUUUUGUUUUCUAUAGGAGCUCUUAGUGGUUAUAAUUUGCUUUAUUAAAUUGAAAACACAAUAAUGCAAUGAGAUUAUAUGACUAGUGAAUCCAUUUUAACCUAAAGUCUGAAUUGAAAUAAACCAGUUCUGGUCAUGUUCCUACCUCUAGAC